rnacentral:rRNA from 1 species
CUUAAUUGCCAUCAUUUAGUUGGGCACUUUAAAGAGACUGCCGGUGUUAAGCCGGAGAAGUGGGGAUGACGUCAAGUCCUCAUGGCCUUUAUGCCCAGGGCUACACACGUGCUACAAUGGGCGGUACAAAGAGAAGCAACCUCGCGAGGGUGAGCAAAUCUCAAAAAGCCGUUCUCAGUUCGGAUUGAAGUCUGCAACUCGACUUCAUGAAGUCGGAAUCGCUAGUAAUCGCGGAUCAGCAUGCCGCGGUGAAUACGUUCCCGGGCCUU